rnacentral:rRNA from 1 species
UACGUAGGGUGCAAGCGUUGUCCGGAAUUAUUGGGCGUAAAGAGCUCGUAGGCGGUCUGUUGCGUCCGCUGUGAAAACUCGGGGCUUAACCCCGAGCCUGCAGUGGAUACGGGCAGACUAGAGGUAGGUAGGGGAGAAUGGAAUUCCCGGUGUAGCGGUGAAAUGCGCAGAUAUCGGGAGGAACACCGGUGGCGAAGGCGGUUCUCUGGGCCUUACCUGACGCUGAGACGCGAAAGCGUGGGGAGCGAACAGG